rnacentral:rRNA from 1 species
GUUGCACUAUCGGUAUCUGAAUACAGAGGUUAACGUGGAGAACCGGGGGAACUGAAACAUCUAAGUUCCCCGAGGAAAAGAAAUCAACCGAGAUUCCCCCAGUAGCUGCGAGCGAACGUGGAGCAGCCCAGAGUCUGAAUCAGCUUGUGUGUUAGUGGAACUGUCUUGAAAGUCCGACGGUACAGGGUGAUAGUCACUUACACCAAAAUGCACAGGUUGUUAACUCGAAG